rnacentral:lncRNA from 10 species
AACUGGACAAAUUGGAGAAUUUGAGAGAUAGCGAUAGGUACUAUACAGAAAAUAAAACAAGGCAGCCCAACAGAAUGGCUUUUCUCAGGACAAACUUAUUCCAUUUGAUUAUGAAAAUCAUCGUCCUUGACAGAAAUGUUCUUCCCCUCUCUCUACCAAACAAAAACUUCCAAGGACUAAUUCUGACCCUCCUCCUCCACUAAAAGCCUUUCCUGACCAAUCACCCUCAUUCAACUCUCCAUUCUUUCAUUCAAGGACAGUUUUUGAGAGCUUUCAGUGAGGCACUGACUCAGGGAUUGCAGAUAUACAGAGAGUUCCUGUCCUCACAGCAGAAACAUUCUAGGAGGAAAACAGAUUCGUUAAACAGGUGUUUAAGGUAGGUUGCAGUGGGCACAGCAACAGAGACAGGCUCAGAGCCCAGUUCCUAACCCUGUCUGGAAAGGAUCAAGCAGGGAUCUCUGGGGCAACUCCUGAACCCUGUCUGUAAAGAUCAGCCAGAACCUUCCACAAAAAAACAAAAAACAAAAAAACAAAAACAAAACCACUGUGGAAUGCUAAUUGAAAUACUAACAGUUCCCUAUGUUGUUGUUUGUUUGUUUGUUUUGACACAGAGUCUUGCUCUGCCGCUCAGGCUGAAGUGCAGUGGCGCCAUCUCUACUCAUUGCACCCUUCAGCUCACCGCAACCUCCGCCUCCCGGAUUCAAGCGAUUCUCUUGUCCCAGCCUCCCGAGUUGCUAGGAUUACCGGCGCGUGCCACCACGCUCGGCUAAUUUUUGUAUUUUUUUGUAGAGGUGGGAUUUCGCCAUGUUGGUUAGCCUUCUCUCGAACUCGUGGCCUCAAGCGAUUCGCCCGCCUCAGCGUCUCAAAAUGUUGGGAUUACAGGUGUGAGCCACCGCAUCCGGCCUACUUCCCAGUGUUAAGCAGUCCACUACCACACAGUUAACACUUGAUACAGUUAAGAGUUUGAGACUUUUGGUCUGUGUUUGGUGCCUAUCAAGCUGGUCAGUCCCAGAACAGGAAACGCAUCUUCAUGCUCUUAUUCAUUCAAAGCUGUACUCAGUGACCAGUGUUACUCAGUUACUGUACUCAGUAA